UACGAAGGGUGCAAGCGUUACUCGGAAUUACUGGGCGUAAAGCGUGCGUAGGUGGUUCGUUAAGUCUGAUGUGAAAGCCCUGGGCUCAACCUGGGAAUGGCAUUGGAUACUGGCGACCUAGAGUGCGGUAGAGGGGUGUGGAAUUCCCGGUGUAGCAGUGAAAUGCGUAGAUAUCGGGAGGAACAUCUGUGGCGAAGGCGACACCCUGGACCAGCACUGACACUGAGGCGCGAAAGCCAGGGGAGCAAACGGG
rnacentral:rRNA from 1 species